GACGAACGCUGGCGGCGUGCUUAACACAUGCAAGUCGAACGGUGAAGCGCCUUCCUUUUUGGUGGGUGUGUAUGAGUGGCGAACGGGUGAGUAAGACGUGAGUAACCUUCCCCCUUCUUCUGGAUAACCGCAUGAAAGUGUGGCUAAUACGGGAUAUUCUGGGUCUGUCGGAUGAUGGGUCUGGGAAAGUUAUUGUUUCGGUGGGGGAUGGGGUCGCGCCCUAUCAGCUUGUUGGUGGGGUGAUGGCCUACCAAGGCGAUGAAGAGUAGCCGGCCUGAGAGGGUGGACGGUCACAGAGGGACGACGAGGCCGACAAGACUCCUACGGGAGGCAGUAGUGGGGAUUAUGCAACGGUGGGAGCAAGGCUGAUGCAGCGACGCGGCGUUAGUGAUGGAGUCCGUCGGGUAGUGAACCUUUUUCGGGGGUGAAGCAGGGUUGCAGUGUUUGUGGGUGGCUUGACGGUACCUGGACAAGAAGCGACGGCUAACUACGUG
rnacentral:rRNA from 1 species